rnacentral:lncRNA from 1 species
GGUAUUGCUGUACUCUUUCAGUUUUUGAGAAAAUCUUUAUUUCCCCUUCUAUUUUAAAUGAUAUUCUUGCUGGGUAGAGUAUUCUAGGCUGCAAUUUUUUCCCUUUUAGAACUUUGCAUCUAGUUUGCCACUCUCUUCUGGCCUGUAGUGUUUCUGUAGAGAGAUCAGCUGAUAGCCUUAUGGGGGUUCCCUUAUAAUUCUUCAUUUUUCUUCUUUCUGCCUUUAGAAUCCUCUAUUUAACUUUUGCCAUUUUUAUUGUAAUACGUCUUGGUGUGGGUCUGUUUCAGGCCUUCUGUACUUCCUGUAUCUUGACAGCUGUUUCAUUUAGAUUUGGAAUGUUUUCAGUCAUAAUUUCCAAAUAUAUUUUUAACUCCCUUUUUAUUCUUCAGGAAUCUAUAUUAUGUAUAGGUUGGCCUGCAUUAUAUUAUCCCAUAGAUCUCAUUGCUUUCAUGUUUUUUUCAUUUAGUUUUCUUUCUGCUGUCCUGAUGGGAUGAUUUCCAUUAUUCUCUCUUCCAAAUCACUGCUUUGUUCCUCUGCAUUAUUCAUUCUGUUCUUCAGUGCCUCUAACCCAGCUUGUGUCUUUGCAAAUAAAUUUUCCAAUUUUUCUUGGCUCCUCCUUAUAUUUUCUAGUUCCUUUCUAAAAUAAUCUGCAUUGCUGUUCAUAUCCACUCUUCAUUCCUUUAUAUCUGCUCUCAAUCCAUUCAGAAUUUUCACUGUCUCUUUUUUGAACUCAUUGUCUGUUAGACUGCAGAGGUCUUGUUUCAUUGUUUGCUUCUUUGGGUGAAUUCUCUGUCCUUUCAAUUGGGAUUGUUUCUGAGCUUCUUCAUUUUGCUUAUAUUUUUCUUAUUCUUUGGAGCCUGAGUCUCAGUGCCCAGCCCCCUUCUGAGUGUCUCAGGCUGUGGAUUCCCGGGAGGUGGUACUGAUGUUGUGUGCAGUGCUCUCUCUCUCUCUGCUUUGCCCUCAGUCCAGAUGCUGGGUUUUUCUCUGAAGCUUGAGGUCCCUCUGUCUUGGCUGAUGCCCCUCAGGUGAUUUCACAGGGUGUGGAUUCCUUUCCUCUUUCUCAGCUCCCUCUCAGGAGUGCUGGUCCUGUAGUGAUGGCUUUGUUUCCCCUCUUCUUUUUUUUUUUUUUCCUUUUUGUUCUAUGCAGUUAUGCGGAGGGUUUCUUGCCAUUUUUAGAGGUUUAAGGUUUUCUUCCAGCAUUCAAUGGAUCUUCUGUGUGAAUUGACCUACAUGUAGAUCAGUUUUUUUCUUUUUUUUUUUUGAUUGUGGGAGAAAGUAAGCACCACAUCUUAGUCCUAUGCCAUCUGGAUCCCACCCCUCCAAAUGUAUCUCUCACAGUGAUACCCUUGGUGUGUGCAGCACCAUCUCUAAGGUAUUCUUGCUGAAAAACUCAGACCUGAUUGAGAACAGCUUCAGAUCUAACUAAAUUUAGAAAAUGGCACCUUUUGGAAUGUAAUUGGUCAAAUUGAGAAUGUAGGAUAUUUCACAGGAAGUUUAUGGAAUUUAUUCUGUGAAUGUCAAGGUAGAAGUGAAAAAAGAUUUUACUGAUUUAAAGAGAGGGAGACAAAGAGACACACUGUCCUAACCUGACUCUAGAAGGAAGAGGCUGAAGCAAGAAUUAAGAUGCCAACAGGAGUUCCCAUUGUUGCUCAGUGGGAUAAGGACCAGACAUAGUGUCUGUGAGGAAGUGAGUUUGAUCUCUGGCCUUGCUCAAUGGGUUAAAGAUCAAGUGUUGCCACAGCUGAGGCAUAGGUCGCAGAUGCAGCUCGCAUCUGGCAUUGCUGUGGUUGUGGUGUAGGCCGGCAGCUGCCGCUCCGAUUCAACCCCUAGCCGGGGAACUUCCAUAUGUUGCAGGGGUGGCAUUUAAAAAAAAAAAGUUAAGACAUUUCAUUUUGGUUGUGCAUGCUCUGGUGAUUAUGGUGGAAGGAAGAAAGAGAGGAAAGGGAAGAAGACAGCAGCGUGAUGGGAUAUUAUGCUAUCUCUGCCUUCACCACCAGCAGGGAGGACACACAGCUGAAGACCCAGCAGGGUGGGAGAUUUCACACGGACUUCUCCAGCUGGACUGUGAGGAGAAACCACACCCUGGAUGUCUGCUGAAGGAAGAAUGAAAAGGUAGUUUAUUUCCCUGGUUCCCUGAUGUCCCCAUUUUUCAUGAGUCAAAUUCUCCCUUUUGGGGAGCUUUCUUUCGAUUUGGGUUGAUCGGAGUCCAGGCUUUUUAGGAUGCUAAAUUCCAUACUUGGUGGGCUGGUGUUUCACCCAGGACUGAAAGUGGCAUUCUCUCCCAACAAGAAGAAAUGAGGGUACUCGAGGGCAUCUAAGAUGAUGCAUAAUUUUAUAUUUUCAAACUCAUUUACUGGUUUUGCCUCUCAGAUCUACUCAAACCUUCCCAGUGUAUUCAGCUCCCAACCACAAUGUUUCUUUCUUGGGAACAAAGUGGUCCUCAAUCUUUGCCUGUCAGAAGUAGUUCAGGUCUAACUAGCCCCAGAUUCUUCAAGGCAGCUCAUCAUGAUUUCCAAGUAGAAGAAAGCAAGAGUUAAAUCAAGUAACAUUCCCCAGCUCUGGCUGCUUUCAAGGCAGUCAAACAGUUCCUUGAUGCUGCCACCAGGUGGAGCCAUUGAACCAAGUCGGAUUCCUCAUGCCCUGAGUAGGGAUGGUGGAUACAUAGUGUAAGUUACAACUGCCAUAAGAAAACUUUGAACAGUGUUUCCAAAUAAAAGGUAUACUAAUUAACAAAGUGUUCUUAAGAAAGUACCUACUUAGAAAAUCUUUAGAUUUUUGUGUUGGGGUGAUUUGGAAACAAAAUAUAUUUUAUUGAGAACAAAUUAUUUCUUUUCAUAUCAUUUCAACAACACUUCUUAAAAGAUUAUGUGCCCUUCCCUGUGCUGGACUCUGAAGCUACAAGGACAAGUAAGAUGCAAAGGCAGUCAUAAGCCAGUAGAGAAGAAAACACACACAAAUAUAAAUAUUUUGUCUUUUUAGGGCCUCACCCGCAGCACAUGGAGGUUCCCAUGCUAUGGGUUGAAUUGGAGCUAUAGCUACUGCCACUUAAUUGACAAGACUAGUGCUGUCUAAUGGAACUUUCUGAGAUGGUGAAGAUAUUCUGCAUCUGCACCAUGUGAGACUGUGGCCACUAGCCAUAUGUGGCCAGUGAGUGCUUGAAAUGUGGGUAGUGUGAUAGAGGAACUAGAUUUUAAAUUCUGUUUAGGUCAGAUUUAAAUAGUUGCGUGUGGCUAGUGGCUACUAUACUGGGCAGCCAGAUCUGGUUAGGAGCUAUUACCUUGUGGAAGAGAGAGAUUAUGUUAGAAAAAUCAGCAGAGACUUUCGUGCCUCUGUGUGUGGGGGGGACCAGGGUACCGAGGAAUGGUAACUGGAAGAAAGGUACAGGCUAGAUAGCACAUAGGAGGGUGAGGUCCCUGGCAGGGAGGGGGCUGUGGUGUUUGGUGGCAGGGGAGUGGGGGCUGUCACUGUGAUUGGAGGUGAGACUUCUGACCCAGCAUCUGGAGCCUUGUUGGUGCCUAAUUAUGUCCAGUCCCCAUUCAAGUUUGCUCACACUUUGCCUGUGCAGAGAUACUGUGAUGACAGGUCUGUCUCUUGUGAGCCCACUGACAGCCAGCUUGUCCCCCUUGACUGUCCAGCUGCAGAGCCAUUGUUCUGUGCCCUCAUAUUUUGCUUAGCAACAAUCUGACCCACCCCCAUGUGGACAAUAUAAUAAACAACAUAUGACAUGGAUGACAAAAGCCAACCUUACUACUUAAAAUAUGAGUGCAAAUUUAAACAUUUAAAUUAAAACUUAAAAACAUUAGACUUGGAGUUCCCAUCAUGGCAUAGCAGAAAUGAAUCCACCUAGGAGCCACGAGGUUGCGGGUUCGAUCCCCAGACUCCCUCAGUGGGUUAAGGAUCUGGCAUUGCCCUGAGCUGUGUUGUAGGUCACAGACAUGGCUCGGAUAUCGGAUGUGGUGUAGGCUGGCACCUGUAGCUCCGAUUAGACCCUUAACUUGGGAACCUCCAUAUGCCGUGGGUGCUGCUCUGAAAUGACGACAGACCAAAAAAGAAAAACCUCAAAAAACAUUAGACUUGAGUUUUUUUUUAUUUAUUACCCUUAGGACAAUCCCUUGUGUUAAGUGGGCUUUGGUUUCCCCCUCUGUGAUCUGUUUCUAGUUUCCCUGGGUAGAUUUCUUUGCUUUAUAAAAUUCUAAAAUGAACACAAGUUGAAACAUACCAGGUCCCCUUUCCUGCAGGCCCUUUGCUACGGAGCUGGUCGGGUGACUAAUGCUUCUGCUUCCUGUUAUUGUCUGAAAAGGGUAUGUGAAAUCUUGGCUUUUAGCCAUUAUUCAGAGACCGGUUAAGUGCACACGUCCCUGGAAAUCCCCAAGUGAAACUGCAGUGAAGGGACUUAAUAUGUUACAAGUGGAAGAGGUGGUCAGUUCCUGAGAGGGAGACUUGCGGCCUGGGAAUUCAUUUCUCCCAGGAAGCUACCUUCCAAGUGCCCACCUUCACCUGAGGACAGUCCUCCAGUCAGUCACGUGCCCUCUGUACAUUCACUCAUGUCGCAAACACUUAUCGAGCACCUACUUGGUGCUGGGUGUGUAGGAUUUCACAGUUUAAUAUUUCUCUGCCCUCAUGGAGCUUGUAUGCCAGCAGGGGAGAAAGAACAAUAAGUAAAUACAUCUGUAAUAUGUCAGGAAAAGGAAGAAGGAGUUUAAAACAUGUAAAUGUGAUGGACGGCAAGGAGACCUCAGAAAUGGGUGGUGAUUUAAGAGAGGAGUCAGGAAGGAAUUCUCUUGUGCUACAGUAGGUUGAGGAUCUGGAAUGGUCACUGUAGCGGCUCGGGUUGCUGCUGUGGUGUGGAUUUGAUCCUGGCCCAGGAACUUCUACCUCUGCAGGUGCUGUCAAAAAGAGUCAGGAAACGUCUCUCUGGGAAGGUGAGGUUUGAGCAGACUGGAAUGAUGGGAGAGUAUGAAACCUGUGAGUGUCUGGGGAGAAGGAUGUUCCAUACAGAAUGACCAACCAACACAAGAGUGAGCUUGGCCCAUUCUAGGAAAAUCACGCAGGACAAUUGGACCAAACUGAAGAGAAUGAGGCAGGGAGUGAAAGGAGAUGCAACUGGAGAGGUGGGUACGAGCUGGACGUCUUAGACCUUACGGGAUCUGGUAAGGAGUUCGGGUUUUUUCCCAAGUCUUAUGAGAGGCUGUUGAAGCAGGGAUGAGACAGAUCUGAUUUAUGCUUUAGGAGGAGCAUUCUGGUUGCUAUCUGGAAACCCUGAUCACUGAGGAACUGAGGAGUGAAGAAGGAAUUGGGGAGUCCAAGUGCAAGACUGUUGCAGGGAUGUAGGUGAGUAGUGGUGGUUGCUUUGGUCUAGGUGGUAGCAGUGGAAAUGGUGAAAGGUAGUGGGUUUGAAAUAAAUUUGGAAUCCAGUUGGGUGAAUUGGAUAUGGGUUGUAAAGAGAAGAGUAAAAGUCUUCUAUGUUUUAUUUUUAUUAUUGUUUUCUUUUUUAGCCACCCCGUGGCAUAUGGAGUUCCUGGCCAGGGAUCAGAUCUGAGUCACCUUUGCAACCUACACCAUGUCUGCGGCAAUGCUGUAUCCUUAACCCACAGUGCUGGGCCAGGGAUCAAACCUGUGUCCCAGCGCUGCAGAGACACUGCCAAUCCCAUUGCACCACAGUGGGAACUCCAGAAAAAGUGUCCUGUGUUUUGAGUCUGAUAAACCAGGUGAAUAUUUACAGGAACGAGGAAGGCUGGAGGGAGGGCUGACGAGGGUGAGGGGUUCACCAAGCAUAGAUGGCUAGAGAUGAUGGGAAUUGAGGGGACAGGUCAGGGAUCAAGAUGUGGAGUUGAGAUUCUUAAGUGUCUAGAUGUAUUUAAAGCCUGGAUUUGAGUAAGAUCAUCCUUAGGGAGAAAAGUAGAUACAUGAGAGAGUUGAAGACUGAGCCCUGAGAUGUUGGGAGGAGGAGGAAGGGUCAUCCAUAGAGAUGGGGAAGAGACUUGCAGUGAUCUCUGGAGAGUUUUCAAGGAAGGGGGUUGAUUGCUUCAGUAAUACUUCAGUGAUGAUGGAGACCACUGGUGUCUGGACAAAAUCAAGUUCAGGGGCAUAGUAGGGGUGAGCACUUGAUCGGUGUGAAUUGAAACCACAAUGAGAAGUAAGGAAAUGAAGAUAUAAGUAUAAAUAAUUCUUUUUUUCCGGAAGAUUUCAUGUUUUUUUUCUUUCUAAAUUUAAAGUGUAGGUGAUCUAUAAUGUGCCAAUUUCUGCUGUACAGCAAAGUGAACCAGUCAUACAUGUAUGUACUUUCCUUUUCUUAAAAAAUAUGGAAUACUUCACAAAUGUUAUCCCCAUGCUGGGGCCAUGCUAAUCUCUGUAUCGUUCUAAUUUAAGUCUGUGUGCUGCCCAUGGGAGCGUCUAGACAGUUCUAUUUAGAAGUUUUACUAUAGGGGAGUUCCCGUCAUGGCUCAGUGGUUAACAAAUCUGACUAGGAACCAUGAGGUUGUGGGUUUGAUCCCUGGCCGCACCCAGUGGGUUAAGGAUCUGGCGCUGCCAUGAGCUGUGGUGUAGGUCACAGAUUGU